rnacentral:rRNA from 2 species
CAGCCGCCGCGGUAACACCAGCCCCUCGAGUGGUGGGGAUGAUUAUUGGGCCUAAAGCGUCCGUAGCCUGCCGUGUAAGUUUCCCGUUAAAUCCAGCGUCUCAAGCGUUGGACCGCGGGAGAUACUACACGGCUAGAGAGUGGGAGAGGUCAGCGGUAUUCUGAGGGUAGGGGCGAAAUCCAUUGAUCCCAGGAGGACCACCAGUGGCGAAGGCUGCUGACUAGAACACGCCUGACAGUGAGGGACGAAAGCUGGGGUAGCGAAUCGGAUUAGAUACCCGAGUAGUCCCAGCUGUAAACUGUGCAAACUCGGUGAUGCAUUGGCUUGAUGCCAAUGCAGUGCCGCAGGGAAGCCGUUAAGUUUGCCGCCUGGGAAGUACGUACGCAAGUAUGAAACUUAAAGGAAUUGGCGGGGGAGCAC